rnacentral:misc_RNA from 1 species
GGUCGAUAAACAAAUCAAGAUGCCGCUUUUCAUACAAUACAUGGCAAAACAUCAGCAAUACAUAAAACAUUAUCCAGGAAUAACUUACACUUCACAUUUACUAGUUACUACAAGAGAUCACAACAACAUCAAAAAGGGGCAAAGAGAGGAGAGCCUAAGACCCUUAUGAACUCCCGUUUGAGUGCUGCGACUGUACGAUCAAUCUUAAUCGACCAUAAGCCUCUAGACAUGCAUAAGAAUAUUCUGACAUGACUCGGAAUAGUUCAGGCAACCGGAUCUUGAGACUCCCUAAUGACUUCUCCCUAACUUGAAUGCAGAGCCUCUGGUGAGCUUCUGUCUCCUCGUCCAACCUCUUCUUCAAUGUGUCCACAAGCAACUGCUUUUCCACAACAGGAUCUUUUGGGUUGGAGUCUGCAGCUCUAUCGGGAUCUGUCAUAUCGGGUGGAGUUCUACGUUGCAUAUACUUUUGAUACCAAUCUUCAAAUGCUUGCCUUUUGCGUAUGUACUCCUUUUUUGUUUCCUCACACUUAUCCUUCAGCUUCAUCUCUUCCUCCUGAUGAAUAAUGAUGGUCCUUAUCACUGCUUCAAAGGAAGCAAUGGCACUUCUGGCGAGCUCAUCAGGCAGCUUCUCAAGAAGUUCCUGCCAGGAGUGGAGAAGGGCUUGAAUUGGGGGACUCUGUGCUCGAGGAGGCGACGAGAUCUUUUCUUUUAGGCUGCUUUCAAUGGGUAUGAGAUUUAGCUUCAACCAGCUGUGGAGUGUUUGGAUGUAUAGCUUUUGAUUUUUCACAAGGUUGUCAAAAUGAUCAUGCCAUUCCUUGAUAACAUUACCAAGCUGGAUCGUACGUUCAUGAUGAUGUUUGCUUGUUUCCAAGGGGAACCCAGAGAUUUCAAUGGCUUUGAGAUCAGUAGCCAACUGCAGCUGGUUCUUGUGAUGACUAAACAUGAAUUCCCACAUGCUAACCAUCCCUUGAACAAGAGCAGCCAGCUUAGGGUAAAGCUGCUUGUCACGAAUGUCAUUUACUUCACUAACAGUCGAAUCCAAGGACUGCAUGUCAACUAUAUAUCGCGUAUGCAAAUGGCUAACAGCAGCCUUUGUCUUCUCCAGUGAUUCCAAGGUAGCAUUCCGUUUCUUCAGCUUGUUUAGCAAGGCAACUUUCCUCUGAUAUUCUUGCUUUAUAAGCUCACCAGCCUUCAUUUCAUCAUAAAGUUUCUUCUCCCA